UAGCUUAUGGACUAUUGGCUUUGAAUUGUAUUGUGGAAAUGUAUUACCAACAGAGCAGGUGCCAGCCUAUUGAAAUAAAGCGUCAAUGAGGGUGAGAAUCCUGUUUGUCAUGUGCAGCCCUUUGUGCACGGUGUAUAUUUGCUGAGUCACACUCCUUGGCAUUGGAAUGCAAAGUGGGUGGUAAGUUUCAUGUAAAGGUAAACAUGCAAUUGAGACUGAUAGCACACAAGUACCAUGAGGGAAAUAUGAAAAGGACUUUGAAAAAGAAUUAAUGAGUUUGUAUUUGCUGAACACAAAGUAAACAGACUUGAUUUGCUUGGUGGGAGUGUUGCACUUGCUUGACAAGAGCUUUGGGCUGUGGGUGUAAUGAUUCUUUCUUUGCAUGCCAGUUUCUAUUUGUACAUCUGAUUACCUUUGCACAUGAAUGAUAAGUCUCCUGUGGGGGGUGGAUUGCAUGUGCAUGUAAUGAUUUGUGUUUUGAUAAAUGUGUCUGGUGUAUGUGUGUGUUCUGUGUUGGGAUGCUUCCUUCUUGGACUACAGCCUGAACACCAUGCUGAGUCUGCUUGACCUUGACACGACCAGAGUCUAAGAU
rnacentral:rRNA from 1 species